UCAAUGAUUGGUUUAAGGCUACUGACCUAGUUUGCCUUCUCAAACACUCUCCAAUUCUUGAGGAGCUCACUCUUGAGCUAGUAUCCAGUCAGAAAUUUGUAGGAGCAACAGGAUCCGAACAAUCAUUGGAGUGUGCGCCCCAUUUGGCUGUUACCAUUGAAUGUAAAAAAGAUGAUAAGCGUGUUCACAAAAUUUUGAAGGUCUUGCGUGCUUGCGGCAUACUUCGUAAGCAGAUUAGCAUCUAUCACACUUAGAUUUUUCCAUUCGCUGAUAGCGACCAAGAUGUGUGCUCGGUACUGAUGCUCGUUUGAAGACUUACUCUUUCUCUAAAGAGCCAUCUGUAAUAGUGGUGAGAUGUUGGCGGUUUGCAUGUUACCAUGAAGUUUAGUUUCUCUAAAGAGUUGGCUGGAUAUCUAUCUUUGUUUUGUUUGAUGCAGCUAAGCAAACUGGUGUUGAACUGGACAUGU